rnacentral:rRNA from 1 species
GACGAACGCUGGCGGCGUGCUUAACACAUGCAAGUCGAACGGUAAGGCCUUUCGGGGUACACGAGUGGCGAACGGGUGCGUAACACGUGGGUGAUCUGCCCUGCACUUCGGGAUAAGCCCGGGAAACUGGGUCUAAUACCGGAUAGGACUGCGCGGUGCAUGCCGUGUGGUGGAAAGAUUUAUCGGUGCAGGAUGGGCCCGCGGCCUAUCAGCUUGUUGGUGGGGUAAUGGCCUACCAAGGCGACGACGGGUAGCCGGCCUGAGAGGGCGACCGGCCACACGGGGACUGGGACACGGCCCAGACUCCUAGGGGGGGCAGCAGUGGGGAAUAUUGCACAAGGGGGGAAAGCCGGAUGCAGGGACGCCGGGGGGGGGAUGACGGCCUUGGGGUGGUAAACCCUUUUCAGGAGGGACGAAGCGUGAGUGACGGUACCGGCAGAAGAAGCACCGGCCAACUACGU